AAGUCGUAACAAGGUUUCCGUAGGUGAACCUGCGGAAGGAUCAUUAAAAAAGGUGAGGUGCCUAGCGGCGCCUCUAUACCUCCACCCUGUGUCUACCUACCUUUGUUGCUUUGGCGGGCCGCGGGAGCUCCUGCUCCCCCACUGGCCUAGGCCGGCGCGAGUCCGCCAGAGUCACCCCAAAAUCCAUUCAACCGUGCCGUCUGAUAAACAAAACAAAUAAGUAAAAA
rnacentral:misc_RNA from 1 species